ensembl:lncRNA
UUUUGAGACUGUGUGGAGAAGAAUUGCCUUUUGGAACAUUGGCUGAGAAGGAAGGUUGACUGGAUGCCUUCUCUGCCUCUCUGAGCUAACAGACUUUCACCCCUGCAUCUAGAUCCGGAGUCUUCUUUGAUAAAAUGUAAGCUUAGCUACUGCUCCAGUGCCAUGCCUAUCUGCCUGUUUCCAUGCUUCCCACCAUGAUGGCCUGACCCUCUAAAGCCAGGCCCAUUGCACCCCAAGCUGGACUGGAAGGAGGGACAUUCACCCAGGGCAUGUGGCAGCAGGCAGCAUCUUGGACAGCGGUGAGUGUUCAGUUAAAGAACCCACACCUGGGAACAGUUUUGAAAAAUAGGUUCUUAACUGGGGUGGGUGAGGGAGUAAAGAUAUUUAUACCUCUGGAGAGGUGGCUAGGGCCUCUGAGGCAAAGUUUGUGUAGCUGUGCACCAUUGGCCAGGACAGGGAUGUUGGAAGAUG